CUAUUAGAACACCCGGUACAUGACUGACCAGAUGUAGACACGAAGAAUUGAAACGGUAAGAACAGCUGCGGUUCCAAACGCGAGCUGUUAUUGUUUUUCUGACUCAUGAGUGGCAAUAACGGAAUGUCAACAGAAGUGUCGCUUCUGUUCAACUGCGAACUAUUUUCCGACGUACUUUCAAAGCAACUGUGUUUGACAGCCUUUAAGAAGAACCAUUAUUUCACAGUAUAUUACCGAUCAGUAAUAUCUAUAGUAGACAGUAAAGAGUUACAUGUUAUGCGAAAUACAAAUCCCCCUACAAGUUAAGAAAUUAUUGACAGAAGAAGAAAGACAUGAAUUCGAAAGAUAGGAAAGGUGGAAAUGACAUAACCUAUUGUUCGGCGGAAGCUUUAAAUUGAAAUUGUAACGUACAAUUUUUAAUUUAUUUUUGACAAUAAGUAAUGAUUUUUGCCGACAAUAUUUUUAAAAAAUACAAACGGAUCAAUGUCGUAGAAAAUAAUUUAUAUCCGACUGAAAGAGCAUUUGCUGAAUCCCGAAGUGCAGUCUGAAGAGUGGGGUUCAGCUGUAAUAGGGGUAGGGGGUUCAUGGUGUUCCAUGAAUUUUGUGCGCAUGCAUCCAUAAUCCGUGUGCAUUGCGUCUGUACGUGUUUGUGCGUUUGUGUGUGUGUGGGAGGGGAUGUAGAAAAUACGGGUGUGGUUCGAUCAAUACGAACAUCCCAUGGAUCCAUCGGUGCGUGUCUCACACAGGUAUACGUUUGUUUGAGGUGAUUCACCUCAAAUUGUGACUGUCUCUAAAAGUUAUUUCAGUAUAAAAUCCUACCUUUAACUCCUUAUCAUUACGUAAAAUAUAUAUCUUCGAGAGUUAACAAAUCAUUAAGAUAAAGUUACAAUGCUCAGUACCUGCUAUACUCAAAUAUUGAUAAUAGUAAUAAUAUUGACAGAAGUCAAUUUUUCUAAUAGCUAUUGUAGCUAUCAUAUAUUGUAUUGUGAUUAAUGGAGGAAGAAAUUAUCAACAACUUUAUUAUUACAAAGGAAGAAAUGUAACGAACAGAUGUUCAACAGAGUUAUUUUUAAACCUAACCUAUAGGACGUGUUUGUAUGAGUCUCGCGCAGAAAAAUCAUCAGUAAAACCCGACGGAAAUGAGGCUUGCACGGAGAAGAGAUUACGGUAUAUCGACUGUUGAAUGGUAUCCGUUCAGUUUCCCAUAGCCCCGAUAUUAAGACCUCGUUAAUGUGAUAAAGCCGGUUAGUCAGAUAUAAUGGCGCCUUUCAUUAAGCACGUUGAAAGGUUGCUUGGUAAAGUUGGUGUACAAAUACCGAAUAUACAUAUAUUCCUAUCGUGUAAUCUAAUAUACGUUUUGUCUUGUGUAUUGUGAGACAUAAAGUGAGUUAUGCCCGCGACUAAUUUCGAGGUUUCGUUUGAACAGCAAAAUUAAGUCUUCUUAUAAGUCUUAUAGGUACUUAAACGUAUUAAGGCGAGUACACAUUGGUAUAACUUUCUUUCACUAUUAUAUAUAUAUAUAUAUAUAUCAUAAUAUGUAUAUAUACAUAAAAUUUAUAAAAGUUUUCUGUACUUAAACAUUUGAGGGCUUCAUCUUACUAAGUCAACCUAACAUUCUAACAUUUCUCAAUUAACAAAAAUUGUAUAUGUUUAAUCUUAUCAUUAAACGCAUACUAUCCUAA